rnacentral:rRNA from 1 species
GACGAACGCUGGCGGCGUGCCUAAUACAUGCAAGUUGAGCGCUGAAGGUUGGUACUUGUACCAACUGGAUGAGCAGCGAACGGGUGAGUAACGCGUGGGGAAUCUGCCUUUGAGCGGGGGACAACAUUUGGAAACGAAUGCUAAUACCGCAUAAAAACUUUAAACACAAGUUUUAAGUUUGAAAGAUGCAAUUGCAUCACUCAAAGAUGAUCCCGCGUUGUAUUAGCUAGUUGGUGAGGUAAAGGCUCACCAAGGCGAUGAUACAUAGCCGACCUGAGAGGGUGAGCGGCCACAUUGAGACUGAGACACGGCCCAAACUCCUACGGGAGGCAGCAGUAGGGAAUCUUCGGCAAUGGACGAAAGUCUGACCGAGCAACGCCGCGUGAGUGAAGAAGGUUUUCGGAUCGUAAAACUCUGUUGGUAGAGAAGAACGUUGGUGAGAGUGGAAAGCUCAUCAAGUGACGGUAACUACCCAGAAAGGGACGGCUAACUACGUG